GUUCAGAUGCUUCGCAAGGUAAUCUUCAAAACCCCGCCAGAGCCGGAAGGCAGCAACGGUAUGAUUCAAUUACUUGUGCCGAAGAUUAUCUGAGCUCU
rnacentral:SRP_RNA from 1 species